CAGCCGCCGCGGUAAUUCGGAGGGUGCGAGCGUUAAUCGGAAUUACUGGGCGUAAAGCGCGCGUAGGCGGUUUGCUAAGUCGGAUGUGAAAUCCCCGGGCUCAACCUGGGAAUGGCAUUCGAUACUGGCCGACUAGAGUACGAGAGAGGGAGGUAGAAUUCCACGUGUAGCGGUGAAAUGCGUAGAUAUGUGGAGGAAUACCGGUGGCGAAGGCGGCCUCCUGGCUCGAUACUGACGCUCAGGUGCGAAAGCGUGGGUAGCAAACAGGAUUAGAUACCCUGGUAGUCCACGCCGUAAACGAUGUCUACUAGCCGUUGGGAGACUUGAUUUCUUAGUGGCGCAGCUAACGCAAUAAGUAGACCGCCUGGGGAGUACGGCCGCAAGGUUAAAACUCAAAGGAAUUGACGG
rnacentral:rRNA from 1 species